GUGACAGCCGCCGCGGUAAUACAGAGACUGCGAGCGUUAUUCGGAUUCACUGAACGUAAAGAGUGCGCAGGCGGCCAGGUGUGUGAGGCGUGAAAUCCCAAAACUUAACCCCGGAAUUGCACCUCAAACUACAUGGCUAGAACAUUGGAGAGGGUAGCAGAAUUCACGGUGUAGCAGUGAAAUGCGUAGAUAUCGUGAGGAAUACCAGAGGCGAAGGCGGCUACCUGGACAAUUGCUGACGCUCAGGCACGAAAGCGUGGGGAGCAAAAGGGAUUAGAAACCCCCGUAGUCC
rnacentral:rRNA from 1 species